UCAGUUGUUCGUAACGUUUGUAGGUUUGUCGAGACGACACCAAGCCGAGGAAGAAGGUUGGUUUCCAGCCAGCUCGAGCGCAGUCGACGAUGACACUAUGAUAAACCUUUGACUUUUUCGACAUGUAUAUAGUGUGAAGACAAAUAGCCGGCGCAUGUGCAAUAGUCGUACCAUACUACUCAAACAUCUAGCUCUCCAUCGUAUCCAACAGCGAGCUUUGCCCGCGACGCAUCAUUAGAAAUAGUUGUUCAUGUGCCACAGUAGUUGCACCUCAAACGCUCUGCCAGCACACGAUGGCCACGAAAUGCACACGUUAUAUCUCCCUACAUCACAUUGCCAAACUUCUUUUUUUAUUUUUUAGAGUUGUCACCUUAUCUUGUCUGCGCAUAGAUUUCGCAUUCCUCGCAGUCACACAGCCUCUGCUAGGCCGCCCCAUGGAACGACACCGCACAGAUCCAGCCCCGCAAUGUGCUAACUGCGCACGCUCUCCCUUUAGGAUAUAAGUGUCCCGUCGCCGGAUGCACUUGGCUAUCACCUCAACAAAACCCGCAUUCUUCGUACUUCAAGCGACGACUACCUCCUAGACGCUAGCGUCCCAGUGCAUGCCGCAAGUGACUAAAAAAAAUGGAACAGCCGACGGUAUCGUCCGUUCCCAGUACUGUUACCCCUGCAGGCAAGGCCACACCAAGCGUCUCUUCUACAGAUAAAACGAGGAUGCGCAUCUUGUACGAUGCGCUGGUGACGCCUUUCCGCAGCAUGUUACAUGGGCUGCAGACUUUUCUCGCGGCCAUGCUGCCCUCCUAUCCCCGUUCAUGGGUGAUCCUGUAGCCAGGCAAGUGACAGCUUCGUCACCGAUGACCUUGUUCUUCUUGUGAAAUAGACCUGGAACCAAACCACUGACGACAUCCAGAAAGUCUCACGUACCUGCCAACUCGAAAAGACGAAAUUGAGACAUUUUUAUCAAACAGCGAACAUGAUUGCUUUCUCCUUGUUGUACAUUGGCUUCACUUCGGCAUUCCACCUGUUCUCGUGUAUACACCAUCUAAUGAAAUAAAAUUCAUUUGACAGGAUAAA